UACUCCUACGGGAGGCAGCAGUGGGGAAUAUUGCACAAUGGGCGCAAGCCUGAUGCAGCCAUGCCGCGUGUGUGAAGAAGGCCUUCGGGUUGUAAAGCACUUUCAGCGAGGAGGAAGGUGGUGAGCUUAAUACGUUCAUCAAUUGACGUUACUCGCAGAAGAAGCACCGGCUAACUCCGUGCCAGCAGCCGCGGUAAU
rnacentral:rRNA from 1 species